UAAAGAUGUAACUAAAAAAAAGAAUUUUGUAAAGACUGAAAUAAAUGGAAACCCGAAGGUGCAAUGUUUGGUGAAUAUGGCCAAUGAAUCAGAACUUCUCAGCCAAGCUGUAAGUUUCUGCC